GACGAGCCACACAAACGUUAUUCGGAAUUACUGGGCUUAAAGGGUGCGUAGGCGGCGCGGAAAGUUGGGUGUGAAAUCACUCGGCUCAACCGAGGAAUGGCGCUCAAAACUACCGUGCUCGAGGGAGAUAGAGGAGUGCGGAACUUACGGUGGAGCGGUGAAAUGCGUUGAUAUCGUAGGGAACACCGGUGGCGAAAGCGGCACUCUGGAUCUCUUCUGACGCUGAUGCACGAAAGCUAGGGUAGCGAACGGG
rnacentral:rRNA from 1 species